AUGCACGCUGGCGGCGUGCCUCAUCCCUGCCAGUCGCGCGAACAGACGAGGAGCUUGCUCCUCUGACGUUAGCGGCGGACGGGUGAGUAACCCGUGGAUAACCUACCUAUAAGACUGGGAUAACUUCGGGAAACCGGAGCUAAUACCGGAUAAUAUAUUUAACCGCAUGGUUCAAUAGUGAAAGACGGUUUUGCUGUCACUUAUAGAUGGAUCCGCGCCGCAUUAGCUAGUUGGUAAGGUAACGGCUUACCAAGGCAACGAUGCGUAGCCGACCUGAGAGGGUGAUCGGCCACACUGGAACUGAGACACGGUCCAGACUCCUACGGGAGGCAGCAGUAGGGAAUCUUCCGCAAUGGGCGAAAGCUUGACGGAGCAACGCCGCGUGAGUGAUGAAGGUCUUCGGAUCGUAAAACUCUGUUAUUAGGGAAGAACAAAUGUGUAAGUAACUAUGCACGUCUUGACGGUACCUAAUCAGAAAGCCACGGCUAACUACGUG
rnacentral:rRNA from 1 species